UUGACCGCACAGCAGAGGAAAUCAAG
rnacentral:piRNA from 2 species